ACAAACGUUAUUUCGCAUCCGGAAGCGGCAGUUUCAAUUUUGGGGUGGGGCUAAUGGCCCCUCGUUGCUGAUUUGCUGAUAAUGUCAAGUCUACCAACUCGAAUUUUACUGAAUGGAAAGUACCAGAACUACAGGUUCCGAUUGAGUCAGAAGGACAGCCUGCCCCAGGAAAAGGCCGUGGAAGACACUUGAACUAAGCUUCCUGGAAUUUGGUGUAAGGCGCCUGUUCUGCUCCCACUGUCUGCAUUCAACAAGCACAAUUUACUGAUAUUGCAAGCGCCUAUUCUGUGCCAGCUUUGUUGGCCUUUCAACAUGGAUCUAAUACCAGCCACUCUACAAGGAGCUCCUGGGCUAUCAGGACUGGUUUGGACUGCUGAGCUUCCUUCCUUGAUUAGACGGCUACCAGAUUCUCAGCCUCUCCAGCGUACAGAUGGCCACUUUGGACCAUCCAGCUCCAUGUGGAAGCCAGGCUAAUAAAUCCUC